AGCUUUGCACAGUGGCAGUAUCGUAGCCAAUUGAGGUUUAUCCGAGGCAUGAUUAUUGCUAAUUCAAAGAAAUUCUAUCUGAACUUUAUUAGACAUCCCUGGUAUAUAAACCUUCUUUUCACUCUAAGGGAUUUGUUGUCCUAUGAGA